rnacentral:rRNA from 1 species
UGCCAGCCGCCGCGGUAAUACGGAGGAUCCAAGCGUUAUCCGGAAUCAUUGGGUUUAAAGGGUCCGUAGGUGGACAAAUAAGUCAGAGGUGAAAUCCUGCAGCUCAACUGUAGAACUGCCUUUGAUACUGUUUGUCUUGAGUUAUUAUGAAGUGGUUAGAAUGUGUAGUGUAGCGGUGAAAUGCAUAGAUAUUACACAGAAUACCGAUUGCGAAGGCAGAUCACUAAUAAUUAACUGACACUGAGGGACGAAAGCGUGGGUAGCGAACAGGAUUAGAUA